UUGUUUCAAGUUGCUUUAACCACUUGGCA
rnacentral:piRNA from 1 species